rnacentral:lncRNA from 1 species
CCAGGAGCUACUCUUCCUCUUCUCCUCUUUUACAGGAAAACUCUCUUAACUUCCUUCUUUGGUUCACAACUUCAUUCCUGUUGAGAGACCACGAACUCUACAUCUGACAUCUAACAGGUUGGGAGUUAUUUUCCCCAUAGCAACAUGAGAUGGGAGAUGAAGAGGUUCAAAGAAAACUGUCUUUUACCCUUUCAGUUUAAAGAAGAAUGGACACAUGUAGAAAUAUGAUUGCACAAAAAAUAUACAGCUUAAUAACAACAGAUAAGGGGCCACCCAGUUACACCUGUCUGUUCAGCCUCUCCUUGGGCUCUGUGCAGCAUUUCCUCCUCCCAGAUGUGGGGCAGAGCCCUUCAGGGAUAAGAACAUUUGAGGAGGAAAGGAGAAGAGAGAGUGGCUUCUCUCAGUCUAAUAUUUUACUUCCAGGGUUCAAGCUUCUGGGACUCACCUUGGGGAAGGAGAAUUCUGGCUUCUGUGGAUCAUUUUGGAGAAGUCAGAAAGGAAGGUUUCUCUUGUCGUGA